rnacentral:tRNA from 1 species
GGGGUUGGGGCUCAGUGGCAGAGCACAUGCCUAGCAUGUGUAAGGCACUGAGUUCGAUUCUCAGCACCA